UACGUAGGGGGCAAGCGUUGUCCGGAUUUAUUGGGCGUAAAGAGCGUGUAGGCGGCCAGGUAGGUCUGCUGUGAAAACUCGAGGCUUAACCUCGAGCUGUCGGCGGAAACCAUCUGGCUAGAGUCCGGAAGAGGAGAAUGGAAUUCCCGGUGUAGCGGUGAAAUGCGCAGAUAUCGGGAAGAACACCCGUGGCGAAGGCGGCAUCCUGGACCGACACUGACGCUGAGGAGCGAAAGCCAGGGGAGCAAACGGG
rnacentral:rRNA from 1 species